rnacentral:rRNA from 1 species
UACGAAGGUGGCAAGCGUUGUUCGGAUUUACUGGGCGUACAGGGAGCGUAGGCGGUUGGAUAAGCCCUCCGUGAAAUCUCCAGGCUUAACCUGGAAAGUGCAGAGGGGACUGUUCAGCUAGAGGAUGGGAGAGGAGCGCGGAAUUCCCGGUGUAGCGGUGAAAUGCGUAGAUAUCUGGAGGAACACCGGUGGCGAAGGCGGCAUCCUGGACCGGUAUUGACGCUGAGGCGCGAAAGCCAGGGGAGCAAACGGG